rnacentral:rRNA from 1 species
UUUGACCUCAUUAUCUGUCAGGACUCACCCGCGACUUCCGCAUAUCC